rnacentral:lncRNA from 1 species
UAACUAGGUGCGUACAAAUAAAAGAAACAAUCAAACACAUCAAGCAACCAUUUUCAUUUCUAAACAAGUACAAUGCGAAAAUCAAGUUUCGAGUGAUAUCCUAAAGUUCAACAUUGAUAUGUGUCGCACCAAAAUCAUUCGUCAAAUGAUCACAUGCAAAGCAUAUAAUAUAAUAGGCAUCCAAGCCAUAUAACAUUGGUCCUCAGUUAAUCAAACAAAUGAAUUAGCUGACAAAAGAUCAUUCACCAAACAAUAUGCAUCAUUGAACAUGUUCAUGCUACAUGUAUAUCCAUCUAAUCAAUGCUUAAUUCAUAACUUCCAGCAUGCAAUCAGAAUUGUAACAGAGCACAUGAGACUAUAAAUUGUGAUUGUUUGAUGACAAAUCACCAUGAAAUUGAAGCCAUAUCUUAUCACAAGCACGUAUGAGUCUUUUUGAUCAAAAUGGCAUCAAUUCAUAACCAAACUAACCCUAAGUUAAAAUCAAAUGCACACCCAAUCAUGGUAACAACUUUCAUGGAAAAAGUUUUUUAACGUGAGCUACAUAGAAGUUAAAGAAAAUUCAAGAAUGCACAAUAUUACGUCGAAAUUGCAGCAAAAUAUCGGGAUGUCGUGACACAUUAAUGGUGAUUUGACCUAAAAAGAAAAUCUGAAGAAUAUGAAAUUUUACCAUAGCGCGAACAAAAGAGAGGCAAACAACUUUUGUUAAGGAUCCAAUCUUAGAAUUCCUUAACAAGAAAAUCAUAGAAAAAAUGACGAUGUCAGCUUUGACAAGGAAAAACGGGGGUUAUGAAUUUCAUUUUUAUGACAGAUUUCUAUCAUGCGAAUCACAAGAAAAGUUGAGUUCAAUUGAUAUGCAAAUCAUGUGAAAUCAGCAUCAUAGGAACAAAUUUCACGAGGAAGCCUCUCAAAAUUUUUAACACGUGAGUUUCUAAAAGUUCAAGAACAUGAACAAGUCAAUCAAGAAUAGAACAUAGUAGCAUGUCACACCAUCAUUCUACAACAUAUUGACAACAAUUGGACAAAUCUACUAUCUCAUCUUAAGACUAAUAGCAACUAGCCACAGAAAAGACGGCAUUUCUAUAAUCGAAUCAACUUCAAAAAUCAAAGACAGCAUUUCAUUAUAUAUUGUAACUAAAAGCACGUGAAUUUACAAAAUCCUAGAAGAGAUCAAGGUCCAUCAAAAGUAGAACAGAGCAGCAAGGCAAACAUACAACCAUUUUUUCUGUAGAUGAUGGAAGUGUGGAUCUUCAGGUAAAUCAUUUUUAUCAAUGGCUACCAUCUUAGGGAACAUCUGCAAAAGUGUCUUCAUCUUAUAGAUAUUCCUGUAUAACUGUGGUAGUUUUUUUUAAGCAUCUGGAGCGUUUAUCUUUUGGCCGAAUGGUACAUACCCUAUUGAGCAUGACAGGAAUGCACAUUUUCUUCCAGAAUAUUUCACUCAAGACAGCUCAUGACUGAUGACAGUUUAUAAUUGUAAGUCCUUACAAUAUCUAGGUUCCUUUGACUAUUUUGAGGGGGACCACUGCUGGAUGAAGUACAUCAAAGGAUCAAUUGAUGGACAUAGCAGGCGGUUUGUCAUGCACUCAGUUUUCUCGCCAGAUUGCUAAAAUGCAUUCAUGACACUGCAUCACUAUUAGAUUGUUUCAUCAUGUUCCUAAUGUUGACUAAGCUUUUAGAGGUUUGAGGCCAUUAAUGGCAACCGUAAUGAAGUAUUUGUAUUGACAACUGCAGUUGUGGAAACUCACACAUGAAUCAAUAGAGUAGUAUCUAACAUUAUCUCCAUAUCGAACCACAAUGAUGUCCAACUGAUGAUGGGAUUGAGGAAACAAGCAGCACAUAGGAUUAUUGUGUAUUUACCUAGCUCGCGGCACCAGACAGGAGAUAAGACCCGAGAAAUCGUCCAAAGAGCGAGCCUCCGAUCAAGAGAGUUACUAAUCUCCAGGAGCGAUCCUCAACCAGUCGGAACAGAGAGAAUCUUCGAUCCUGAUGAAGCUAGAUCCGGGUGAGAGCGAUCGAGUGUCUGUAAGAAAAAGAGAAUUAGAGCAGGAAAGAGAAUUCCCGAGCGAAAGAGUCAGCUUGAGUCCCAGAGAGUGUGUGAGAUCUGGAGAACGUCCUCGAGAGAGAGAAACCGUUCGGCCGUUUUUCCUCCGAGAGAGAAUCUGAGCCGAGAGCAUUCGUCUGUUCCGUCACAGUCGUGGCUGCACUGACCGAUAUAGGAAAUUUAGCUGCGGCUAUCACCGAUUGGGAAUGGGAAUACGCCGAGCGCGAAGAUGAUCAGCAUAACUAGGCCAACGACCGCUUCAAGCUCUUCAUCUUCGAAGCCAGAAACAUCACCGGCGAUUUCUUCUCAUUCUCCAUCUUCUUCGACUCUAUCUAUCCAGAAGCACAAACCUCCGAGCGGCAGAACUCCCGAUGGAAGAAAUGAAAACCGAUCGCGAGUGGAGAUCAACUUCGGAUCUCAGUACCAGAGGCAACAGGCCAAAGCAAUGGUGGAGACGAAGGAUGCGACGGUUGGUGACCGGAUUGCGGUAGCGGCGGCGCACGAAUCGAAUCUUCGCCGCGAUGGGAAGAACUUGAAGAUUUGGGAUCCGAGUCGAGUGCAGAGAAAGAGAGAAAGCUUCACGAUGGAGGAUCCUCGAUCUAGGGUUUUUUUUUUUUUUUUUGGUGUGGUGACCCCCAAAGAAAAAUCCCCGAUCAAAAGAGAGAAAACCCCCCCUUUUUAGCUCCGUGGGAGAGAGAGAUCCUGAUGAAGAGAGUGCGGGAGCCCCCCCUCCCCCCCGCGAGAGAGAAUUCCCCGUGCGAGCUAAAACCCCCCUUUUUCUUUUUGUUUUCUUCUUUUUUUUCUUUCUUUCUUUUCUCUCCUUUUUCUUUAUUUCUCCCUUUUUUUUCUUUUUCUUUUUGAUUCCUUUACUUCUUUUUUCUUUCUCUCUAUAUUAUUUUUUUUUCUUUUCAUUUUCAUUUUUUUAUUUUUUUUAUUUUUUUAUAUGUUUUCAAAUUGAAUGUUUAAAACGUCAACAAAAAAUUCCGGGUGUCAACAGCUGCCCCUCUUGGGUGGGAGCUCGAAGAGGUUCCACUCAAAGACAAAAUUGAUACCUGAAAUUUUUAGUCGACUCGGCUUUGAAAAAUAGAAAACGACAAAAGCAAUGAUGGUUGGUUAGGACGUACCUGAUACUUACCUUUGCUCAUCAAGGUAUCUGAACUCUUGUUGGGGUUUAUUCACUCUAUCUCUGUUUCUCUUUCUCGUGGAAUGGAAUGAAGACAAUAAAAUCACUAAAUGAAAAAUGAAUGGUUUAAGGACAACCUACGAACCGUAUGGUUUAGACUGGGAGAAAGGUCUCACCGUGUAAAAACGGGUUUUGACUGGAUGAAAUGUCUCACCGUGUAAAAACGGGUUUCGACUGGGAGAAAUGUCUCACCGUGUAAAAAUGGGUUUUGACUGGAUGAAAUGUCUCACCGUAUACGAACGGGUUUCGAUCGGGUGUGAUAGUCUCACCAUAUACAAAUGGGUUUUGACUGAGAGGAAGGUCUCACCAUAUACAAAUGGGUUUCGACCAAGUAUGAUAGUCUCACCAUAUACAAACGGGUUUCGACUGAGAGGAAUGUCUCACUGUAUAUGAACGGGUUUCGACCGGGUAUGAUAGUCUCACCGUAUACAAACGGGUUUCGACUGAGAGGAAGGUCUCACCAUAUACAAAUGGGUUUCGACCAGGUAUGAUAGUCUCACCGUAUACAAACGGGUUUCGACUGAGAGGAAGGUCUCACCAUAUACAAAUGGGUUUCGACCGGGUAUGAUAAUCUCACCGUAUACAAACGGGUUUCGACUGAAAGGAAGGUCUUUUCGACCAGUUAUUAGUUUCAAAAUUUCUAGAGAACCAAUCUUGCAAAAUAACAUUGAUUGUCAAAUCCUUUUAGAGAAGAUUUUAACAAAAUGGGAUCUGAUUAACCAUCUAAGGGUUAAAUCAAAUAUGCCAAGUGGAAACAUCCUAAUCAAAAGAGGUCUUUCACACUAGCUCUCAAAAAUGGCUUUUGUUCCCAACCAUUGAUAUGGGAAAACUGUUUAAAUCUCACUAGAGAAAUCUCACUCAACCUAUGUCUAAGGUUUUCGGAAACGUUCACAGUGAAUACAACCAAUUGAUCAAAAGGUCUUUUAAAGGGACCGUAAUGAUGGCUUGGUCAUGGGCUUACACAAAGGGUAUGCACUUUGAGGCCAAGAAAUGAAUAUUCAAUCAAUAUCUUCAUCAGGUUUACAAGUCAAGAACCUUGAAGAUAAGAUAAGAUAGGAUUGCUUCCACUCCUUCUAGUGGUAGCUCCUAUGUGAUAUUCUCAUUUCAACUCAAACCAUCCUAAUCAGAAGAGACUUCGGAUAAGGGUUGUAAUGUUGGUUUGGGUGAGGCUUAGAAAGGCUUGAAAAACUUUCAGAUAUCAAAGGGUUAAAAAGUGAGUGAUUAUCUUGGCAUCAUUACCAUCACACGACUUCUCAAAAAUUCGACUCUUGAAAUUUAACCUAUCUCGAGAGUCCUUUUGGUAAUUUGUCUUGAGACAUGAGAGCUUCGCUCUUUGUUCUAAUGACAUUGCUUGCAAUAUAGGUUUUCUUUUGUAAUGCAUUUCUUUUGUUUUUCAAUGAAUGAUCUUUUGCAUGAUCAUGGAUUUCGCUCUUUUUUGCAUUCUUGCUUUUCUUUGCAUUUUUUUUCAUGGGCAUCAGCCUUGCUUUUACCAAGCACACUGCUUUUUCAUGCCCCCUAGUUUUCAUCCUCUUUUGGGUAUCUAGGACUCUUGAGUGGCAUUUACAAACAUUACCAAUAUCCUCAAUUUUGUUGGUAAAUCAGGUGCCUUGCCCCAGUGUGGGGAGAUAAUCAUCACCUGGGGUUAUGAAAGAAUUGCAUAAGGCUCAAAUUGGCUAAGCAAUGGAUAAUUGUGUUUGUGGUAGUGAACGGAAUGCUCUUCGUCACUUUGGGAUGCUUCGAGUUUUGAUAAGAAAUCACCUGAAGUUAGCACAAGAAGAUUGAUACAAGUGAAAGCAAUAAAAUCUUUCUUAAUCUUUUGCUCCAUAAUUUUCAACCAAGACCCCCUAUUUUGCUCCAAUGUGGGGUUGUUCUUGACAGGGUUAUUUUGGAAUGCUCCCUAUUUGGCUUAGAGUGGCUUGCAAGGGAUAUCAAUAGUGUUUGGGAUUGAGAAAUGAAAUGCCUUUAUCAUCUUAAAUCAUGUAUUUACUGUGAAUGAAUCCUAUGCCCUAAGACAUGGUUCUUUCCACUCAAUUCUUUCAAAGAGUGUAUGAGGACGUGUUUGGUAAAAGGGUUGCCUCUCAUCAUUUUAGGCACUACCACCUGGCAUAUUUAACAAUCCUUUUCAGGUUUUUCAAAACCCACUUUAGUUAAAUUCAGCUCCGUGGGGAAAUGAAAAUAUAAUGAAAUUUUGUCUGAAAUGACAUGUUUCCUUGACCCUAUUGGGGAGAUUUUUUGGAAGUAAGAUUGGACAAAAUUUGUAAACAGAACAGGCUUUACUUAGCACAUGGGUUCAUUUCUAGAGUUCUAACUGUACUUCUAGAAUUCUAACCGACUCUUUGUAUUUCUAACUCUUUUGGCAUUCUAANNNNNNNNNNNNNNNNNNNNNNNNNNNNNNNNNNNNNNNNNNNNNNNNNNNNNNNNNNNNNNNNNNNNNNNNNNNNNNNNNNNNNNNNNNNNNNNNNNNNNNNNNNNNNNNNNNNNNNNNNNNNNNNNNNNNNNNNNNNNNNNNNNNNNNNNNNNNNNNNNNNNNNNNNNNUGGCUCAGAUUCAAUCCAAAAAUGGCUCAAAGGCCUUUCACUUUAUUCAUGGAUAAUACUUCUUGACAGAAUCAGCAUUUACAGGUCUUGGCAAUUCAUGACCAUCCAUUUCUACAAGGAUUAGUGCCCCACCGGGUAGCACUUUCUUUACAAUAUAUGGACCUUCAUAGUUUGGAGUAAACUUCCCACGAUGAUCUAGAAUGAUAGGUAAAACCUUCCUCAAGACAAGAUCGUUGAUCUCAAAAUGUCUUGGUCUAACUUUGCGAUUAAAUGACCUAGCUACUCUCUUCUGAUAGCUUUGUCCAUGGCAUAAGGCUUUUACCCUCUUUUCAUCAAUCAUAUUAAGUUGUUCAAAUCUUUGUUGAACCCAUUCAGCUUCAGAGAGCUUGAUUUGAGAAAGUACCCUUAGUGAAGGAAUUUCCACUUCCACGGGUAAUACAGCUUCCAUCCCAUAAACCAAUGAGAAUGGUGUUGCCCCAGUUGAAGUACGAAUUGAAGUUCAAUAAGCAAACAAAGCAUAUGGCAACCAAUCAUGCCAAUCACGAUAAUUUUCUGCCGUUUUAGCCAAAAUCUUCUUGAUGUUCUUAUUUGCCGCUUCCACAGCUCCAUUCAUUUGUGGGCAGUAAGGAGAAGAAUUCAAAUGGCGAAUGUGGAAUUCUCCAAGUAAAUCAUCCACCACUUUAUUGUUCAAGUUUGAUCCAUUAUCUGUGAUGAUCGCUUCAGGAACUCCAUAUCGGGCGAUGAUAUCUCGACAGAUGAAUUUUGCCACACUCUUUGUAGUAACAUGGGCAUAAGAAUUGGCUUCAAUCCAUUUGGUGAAGUAAUCAAUUGCUACUAAGAUAAAACGAUGUCCAUUUGAUGCUUUAGGAUUAAUUAGUCCGAUGAUGUCAAUGCCCCACAUUGAAAAAGGCCAGGACUCAGACAUUUGAUGUAACUCAUUAGGAGGAGCAUUGAUUUUGUCUCCAUAGACUUGGCAUUGAUGACAACACAUCACAUGCUGAAUACAAUCGGCUUCCACAGUCAACCAAUAAUAACCGAGCCUCAUAAUUUUUCUAGCCAAGAGAUGGCCAUUCAUAUGUGGACCACACUCUCCUUCAUGUAUUUCUUUCAUUAGGAGUUUAGCUUCUUGUGCGUCCACGCAUUUCAGUAAAACUAAAUCGAAAGACCUUUUAUAGAGAGCUCCUCCACUGAGGAAGAAUUUGGAUGCCAACUUCAUCAAGUAUUUUCGAUCAUUAACUUGACUCCCUUGGGGGAAUUUGCCUUUUCGAAGGUAAUUCAUGAUGUCAUAGUACCAGGGUUGACCAUCAGGUUCUUCUUCUAUCAACAGGCAAUAAGCAGGCUUUUUCAAAACGUUGAUUUGCAAAGGAUCAACGCUCAAACCAUCAGCUACUUGCAACAUCGAAGAUAAAGUUGCCAAGGCAUCGGCAAACUGAUUUUGUGAUCUCGACAGAUAAUCAAAAGAGAUCUCGUCAAAUUCUUUGACUAAGUCUUCGAGAUAUUCGUGGUAAGGGAUUAAUUUUACAUCCCGUGUUUGCCAUUCACCUUCCGUCUGGUGGAUGAUGAGUGCAGAAUCACCAUAAACUUGAAGCUUUCUGAAUUUCAUAUCGAUGGCUAAUUGCAAGCCAAGGAUGCAUGCUUCAUAUUCAGAAAUAUUGUUGGUACAAGGGAAUACCAAUUUGCAGCUACUGGAUAAUGUUGAUCUUCCGAGGAUAUUAAAACUGCCCCAGUGCCAGAACUAGAAAGGUUAACUACACCGUCAAAAUACAUGGUCCACUUGUCAGGCGAAACCAAAUAAAUCCGUUCAUCGAUUUCAUCCCAAUCAUUAGAUUUCUCGGGAUUUUCGGCUAACAUAUCAGCUAUGGCUCGCCCUUUGAUGGACUUUUGUGCCAUGCUUUGAAUAUCAAACUCAGAGAGUAAUAUUUGCCAUUUGGCGAGCCUUCCAACCAAUGCAGGCUUUUCCAAAAGAUAUUUGAUUGGGUCAUUCUCAGUCACCAAAAGGAUGCGGUGAUGCAAAGUAUAUUGUCUCAGUCAGUGUAAAACUCAAAUCAAGGCUACACAGGUCUUUUCCACCUUAAGAUAUCGAAUCUCGGAAGUAGUAAACUUCUUACUGAGGUAAUAUAUGGCACGUUCUAUUCCAUCCCUUGGUCCUUUUUGUGCUAACAUGGCUCCUAAAGACUCCUCAUGAAUGGUGAGAUAUAGGAUCAGAGGCGCGCCUUGGAUAGGUGGUACAAGUACAGGAGAUUGCGAAAGAUAUUGCUUCAGUUCUUCAAAUGAUUUCUGACAUUCUUCAUCCCAGUUGACCUUAGCGUUCUUCUUUAAUAACUUGAAGAAUGGCUUAGCAGCUUCUGACAAUUGAGAGAUAAAUCUUGCAACAUAAUUCAAUCUUCCUAAUAAACUUCGGACUUCUUUAACAGUAGAAGGAGGUUUCAAAUCGCAUAUGGCCUUCACCUUAGAGGGAUCUAUCUUGAUACCCUUGUUACUAACCAUAAAUCCAAGAAGCUUUCCAGACUUUGCCCCAAAUAUGCAUUUUGCGGGGUUAAGCCUCAGCUUAAAUUUCCUCAAACGGUCAAAUAAUCUUCUUAAGAUUUCAACAUGAUCUUCAUCUUCUCUUGACUUUGCAAUCAUGUCAUCAACAUAAACUUCAAUCUCCUUAUGCAUCAUGUCAUGGAAUAGUGUCACCAUGGCUCUUUGAUAUGUUGCCCCUGCAUUCUUUAAGCCAAAGGACAUAACUUUGUAGCAAAAUGUUCCCCAUGGGGUGAUGAAUGAAGUUUUAGUCUUAUCAUCCUCUUUCAUCCGGAUUUGGUUAUAACCAGAAAAUCCAUCCAUGAAGGAGAACAAUUCAAAUCCGGCAAUACUGUCAACUAAAAGAUCAAUGUGCGGCAAAGGAAAAUCGUCCUUAGGGCUUGCCUUAUUCAGAUCACGGUAAUCAACACAUACUCGGACUCGUCUAUCCUUUUUCAUAACCGGGACUAUAUUAGCAAUCCAAUCCGCAUACUGGGUGACUUCAAUGAAACCAACAUUUAAGAGCUUCAUGACUUCCUCUUCAAUCUUUUUCGACAAUUCAGGUUUCGUCCUUCUAAGCUUUUGCUUCUUCGGUAGAAUAUUAGGAUCAAGUGGUAACGCAUGUUCCACAAUCUCAAGAUCUAAACCUGGCAUAUUGACAUACGACCAAGCAAAAAUAUCUCGAUAUUCUUUCAAAAGCCCAAUUAGUCUAUUGGCAUCUGCUUGAGAGAGACCCGCCCCAAUCUUGGUUUCUUUAGGGUUGUCUGAAUCUCCCAAAUUUACAGUGACUGGUUGUUCGGUGGUAGGAGGUUUGGACUCUUCAUGUAUGAGCCACUCUUUUUCAAUACCUCGAUGAUCAUCCUCAUUCUCUGAAUCGGAAUAAUGGGGUUCGUCAAAAUCUUUUGAAUGCGAAUCCGAGCCAUGUGAAUGACUAUCGUGAUGUGAAAUGUCAUGCCUGAGAUGUAAUUGAAAAAAAAUGGUUAGUAUAUGUACACCUAAAUGAAUAUAAUGUAUGUAAAUGUCAUGAAAAAUUUGUUUUCAAGUUCAAGUUUUAUUGGGAACUAGCCCUCAUGUCAUUGGACGUCUUCGUUCCACCAAAACAUUUUGAAACUAUAGAUCGUGUGGAGGCUCAGGCCUCAAAGCAUCAUCAUAGGACUAAUUUGGGCCUCACACGUCUAUUAACAAAACAUGAAUUUUAUUGAUAUGCAAAAAUUGCAUUACAACGUAUAUCAUCUUGGAUCUAGAAAGUUUAUGAUCUAGAUUAUUACAAACACAAACGAAUAAAAUGAAUAGAAUUUCCUCGCAGGGGAGAAAUGAAUGAAAUUCCCUCAUAGGGGAGAAAUGAAUGGAAUACAACUAAAAAUUAAGUACAAGAACUAGAAACAUCCCUUACACAGUGGGAAUUGUAUGCUCUUCAUCUUCACUAAUAGUGCCAACUAGACCAUCUUCAAACAAAUCAGCAAAGUGAUAGACAUUGGCCUCUUCUUCUUGCAAGAGCUUAGGCGGACCAGGAAAGAAAUCUUUCAAAGGUAGAGGCAAGAGACGUUGGUAGCUUUUACCCUUGAUGUUUGGGCCUUUGCGAUUACCUUGACCCUUACGAUCGCCUUGAUAACCCAGGCCUUCACGCUUGUUGAUUUUGACCACUUUAAUAGGAUCUGGCAUGCCUUGGGCUGACUUACCCAAACCUUUCCCCAUAGCAAAACCAUUUUUGAGCAAUUCUCUACUUGCCAUCAGGGAGGCCUCUGAGAACCGAGGCUUUCUAAUAAUCGACCCAACAGGCACAUGAGUGACAGACACCAUCUCAAACAAGUGAUAGCUCGACUCUCCCUUGACCUCAGGCUCAAUGAAAGGUAUGGCCGUGUUAUGGAAAGUCUCCACAUCUCUUUCACGUCGAAUAGUCACAAUCUUUCCAUCGAUAGGAAGUUUCAUCAUCUGAUGAAGACUGGAAGGAAUAAUUCCUGCAGCAUGGAUCCAAGGCCGUCCCAGUAGCAGGCUAAAGUUGCUUGGGAUAUCCAGUACUUGAAACUUUUGAGUCAUGGUAAUAGGGCCAAUUGUCAGUGGUAAAUCGAUUUCCCUUAUUGUUUCUCUCUUCAUCCCAUCAAAGGCUCGAACAGGAAUUGUUGGAGAAGAGACAUUUUCCAUUCCUAUCCCCAAUUUAUGAAGGGUGGAUAAAGGGAAAAUGUUCAAGGAAGAGCCAUUAUCGAUCAGGACCUUCGAAAUCUUUGUCUCAAAAUGUUGAGCAGACACAUAUAACGCCUUAGUGUGUGCUUGGCCCUCAGGAGGGAGGUCUCUCUCAGAGAAAGUAAUUUGAUCUCUUAGAAGUAUUGCACCCACAAACUCCUCCAAUUGUACUUCUCCAAUAGCCUCGGGUACAUGAACUUCAUUUAAAAUUUUGAGGAGAGCAUUUCUAUGCUUUUCAGAGGUCUUGAAGAGCUCCAAUAGAGAAUCUGCGCAGGCAUCUUGCGCAAUUGAUCAAUCACUUCAGCCUCACUUGUCUUGAGUGUUUUGAGGAGUUGUUUAGCUUCCUCAUCAGUUACGGCCUUCUUUUCCUCACCUUCACGUGGUGGGUAGAUUCGACCCGAUCGGGUGACGGCGUCGAUUUCAUUUGUAUUAUAAUUCCAAGGGACCGCCCUAGUGUCAAAAGUAGGAAUCACUUUAGUGUUGGAACAUUCACCUAAUUCUGGUGGUAACUCGAUCACAACAGGACCAAAACCCGUGUUAGAGAUCUUCAUGGCUCCAAAAUUAUCAACCAAUGAGCCGACUUCGAUGACACUCUUAGCAGUUGUAUCACUCCCACAUGGGAUUUUUCCUUUAGUCAAAUCAAUUACAACAGGUUCAAUCAUAGCCAUGAAUUCAUCCUUGAAUUCCUCUCCCCAUCCACUAGGGACAAUGUCUUUAGAGUUUUGGAAAUAACUUGGAGGAGUAUACUUGACUAUAAAGUCGUAUUUCCCACUUGGUUGUCCCAAGGUGUCUACCACUUCACCCUUCUCAUGGGCUUUCCUCACAAAUUCACGGUCUGAAUGGGAAGUUUUGUAUUCAUCCUCUUCUUCGCUAUAGGAGUAGACCUCUUUAUCCUUUGGCAAAAUUGAAAUAAGGUCUUCUUCAUCAUGAAUGACGUGACCUUUCAACUGGUGAUCAUCGAAUGGCAUGCUCUGUUUCAUCUCCUGGGUAUCCAUCAAGGGUAUAUCUUCGUCAACAUCCCCAUAAAUCAUGUUGACAUUUUCAGAAUGCUUUGGAAGAUGAUUUUGUUGGACAUUCGAUGCUGAAUCCUUGAAGGUGAGCAGCUUUUUAUCCAGCAAAUUAUGGAUCUUAUAACGGAGCACAAAACAAUUAUCUACAUUAUGACCUUUUUCACCCAUAUGAUAUUCACAUAUCUUAUUAAGGUCGAAUCCGGCAAACUUUGGCGGAUUAUUCCUUGGGAUCUCUUUUGCAACAAGAUGAUUUUCGAUUAGCAUUGGAAGUAGUUGAGACAUGGGCCUAGGUAGUGGGGUAAAUUGCCUUUGAAGGGUUUUUCCUUUGUACUCAAAAUUUCUGGAAGAACCCCCUACUUCCAUGGCAGGUUUAUGAAUUUGAGGAUUAUAUGGCUUCUGAGAAGAGAAAUUUUGUACAUAGGCGAUCUCCACAGUCGAUUCUUUAUCCCUCUUCGGGGUAUAUCGACGAUUUGUGUUCUCAGACAACCUUCCUUCUCGCAUAAUCUCCUCGAUGCGUUCUCCCAACUCUACAAAUGUAGCAAAGUUCAUACAAGUAUGGUUGUACAUCUUCUCAAAAAGAUCAUGGGGCAUAGCCUGAAGCAGCAAUUUCAUCGUCUCUUUCUCAGACAAUGGCGGUUUCACUUGAGACGCAGUGACCCUCCACCUUUGAGCGUAGGCCCUAAAUGAUUCAGUUCUUCUUUUCUCAACCCAAACCAAUUCCUCUUGAGUCGGAGCAAUUUCAGUAUUGAAUUUGUAUUGCUGAAGGAAUUCAUCAACGAGAUCCUCCCAAGUACGGAUUUUCUCCAUGUCCAACUCUAUAAACCAAGUUAAAUGAAUUGAUCAGAAGUGGGGGAUUAUCUUAAUAACGAGCCAUCUUGCCUAGAUAGUACUUCAAAUGAGUCUUCGGACAUCCGAUGCCGUCGUAUUUCCUUGUGAACUCCGGCUCCUUAUAAAAUUCAGGGACCGUAAUUUUGGCAAAGGGCGAUAGUUUAUCAAACCCCUACAACUGAUAGCCUUGCAGCAUGCAAAGGCGUUCUUCGAUCUUGGCGAGGUGCCUUGCAUUUUCUUCAUCAAAGUGCGAAGUUGGUAUCUCUUUAGAUUGAGGCUCUGGACCGAUAACUAUCGGGAUUGCAGUGGGGAUCUCUUCUACAGGCCCUUUUGCCACAGGCUCUACUACAGGCACUUCAGGGGGCGCGGUAGGAAUAUUCAUGGUAGAAGAAGUAGAUGUCAAGUUUUUGAUUUGGCUAGAGAGAUCGGCCAAUAACGUCAUCAUUUGUGCCAUUUGAUUCUCCAUAUUAAUGACACGGGCUCGGGUAUCUUCAUUUUCCAUCUUUGUUUGGCGGCGAGUUCGUAUAACAAAUCUUUCUUCAGCCGUUUUUUCAAAACCUCCUGUAAAAUAAAAUGACUCGAAUUAGUACCGAUCAAAAGAAACCAUUAAAGUACAAAUCCUAGUCAAUUUUAUAUUUUCUUGAGAUGAAAUAAUGAUAAGAAGUGUAUAUGAUCCCAGUAUCAUAUAACCUCCUCUUAUCAAAAUUUCUUCAAAAGAAAUUAUACAAUUGAAAAGGAACGACGACAAAUAUUUAAUCAGAAUGCCCCUUUUCUAGAAGUUACAUGAAAAAUGUUCAUGAAUUUCAUUCAUUUCAAUCGAACAAUUACAAGGGAAAACAAAACCUUGCUUUCUUGAAGCUUACAAAGUAGUUCGACUUUACAUGCGAUGUUUACAUGGGAUAUGAAAAUGAAUACAAGUAAACCUCAAUAGAAAGGAGGGAAACACAAAUGAAAUCCCUUUACAAGAAAAGCAUAUGAAAUGAAAACCUAAGUACUAGGCGAGAUCGUGCGGAGACGCUUGUUUUCAUGGGCUAAGCAUUCCUCAUCGAUCAAGACACUGUUUUCUUGCUCCUGAAUAUGAGCUUGUUGAAGUCUUUGAGGCUCGGGAACAUCCGGCAACUGAACCUUGAGCUCGGGUUCUACUUGACAGUAUAUGUAAUCGAUGGUAGCUUGAUGGGUCUUCAUCUCUCCUUCCAAAUCAGCUUCAUCGAUGGCAACCACGUGAUGCGAGGAAUGGGAGUACCAAAUCCCAAUAGCAGCUUGAAUUGCGGCCUUGAUAUGGUCAAUUUGGUUUUCCUUGAUGACUUCAUUGUGAUAAUCAAUACGAUAUAACCCCAGCUUGAGGAUUGGCGGGAUCGUUUGAAGCGCGCGAUAUUGGCGGAGUACCCUUAAAGGGUAAUAUGACGUUAAACCGUCAGUCCCACGAGGGGAAGUGGAUUGUCAACUCCACUAAAAAGGCGCACCUCGGGAUUCCCAAGCCAUCGAGCAUGCCAUUGAAUUAAGCUAUGGUUGAGAUUUUUAAGGAAAUGGAACCACAUAGAGAAAGACCAUGAUGGAAAGGAUUCGUUUCGUUGGGAAAAUCUAAGAAUUGGAUGAUGAUGUUUUGUGACAUCAAUAAUCUUCAUGUGAGGGCAAACUCUUUGAUAUGUGAAAAGAGCCAAAUUUGGAGAAGUCCUAAUGGGGCUCUAAGAGUUCCUCAACCAUUUGCUUUAAAUCGAUUAAAAGACACAAAAGUUUCGGCAAUGAUCAUAUGUGUGAAACAAUUAAAUGCGCACACUUGGUUGACAAUGUGUGUGACUAAAGGAUCCAUUGUUUUUCGGGUAUAUGGGAAAAUCACAAAACCAAAGAAUAUGAGUAGGAAGACACGAGGAAUUUGGUUCCCAGAUUUUGGCUCAAGGCUACGGAAAUGUUUUUCGAGGAAAUUAUAAGGCAUGGCAUGAGAGUUUCCAUUAAGAAUAGCUUCAAUUUUAUCAUAAGGGAUAUUGAGGAAUUGACUUAGAAGAGAUAUUGGAUUUUGGCCAAUAGGAGGAGUAACAAAACCUAAAGAAGCUUUACCUAAUCCAAUGGCUUUUUGGAACUCCUCAAUUGUAGGGGUCAAUUCACAUUGAUUAAACACGAAAGUAGAAGUCACAGGAUUCCAAAAAUGAGCCAAUAUUGCAAUACGUGGUUCGACUUUUAAUAAAGUCGGGAGGAAGCCUAUGCGCUUUUCCUCGUAGUCUUGAUGUCUUGGGUCGAGAUUCUCCCAUAAAGUCUUGAGAUUCCAGGCACAGGGAUCACGUCUACUUCAGGUCUACCCAUCUAAUCUAAACCUAAAGGGGCAUACAUGAUUAAACAUAUCGUCGCUGAAAUAUAGAAUUGCAUAAUUGAAAUAUGGAAAGUAAAAAAAUAAGCACGAUGAAAAAGGAAAAUAUCUUACCCACCAGACACAUGACAAGCACAAAUCACAUGUCGUAUGAAACUGUGAGGUUUUAACGCCUAAGGUGAGGGUACUAAAAGCUCAAGGUCUUCAUCCCAAAGGAUAAAAAUAGUUUACCCACCGCUACUAUCGUCGGUCAGUGCUAUUUUUAUCGGUUGGGAUGAGCGGGUUUAUGUAAGUAAUGGAUUACCACGAGCAUCCACUCGCAUAUUCCACCCAUAAACCCUCCUAAGGUCCUAGAUUGGGUGAUCGGGGUUUUAGACCGCGGUUGUGUGUGCGGUGUCAUGCUAAAGUUGGUAAACAUGCAUUUAAAUUUAAACAUCCAGCACUUCAAUAUAAACCCACAUACAUUUAUUCAUCCUUACACCACCUGCAAAACAAAGGGUUUACAAGCACACCUCCCCUUAUAACUCCCACCUACAAUACCAUUUAACAUAAGGUUAGUGACUAACCUGAUUUUCCACGCGACUUUGACAUGCAGGCGAUCCUACAUAAGACAUGUUAGUUAAAACACAACAACCAUUUUUAAAUGGCUUCAAGUCCUUUAACCUAGUAACCAGUCCCCAGCGGAGCCGCCAAGCCUGUCGCGACCCGGAUCUCGCCGCCCCUCGAAAUGGUAUCCAAGGAGGGGAAAGGUCGGGUUUAGGGAUACUUAAUCUCGAGAUCACGAGCUCUCCCAAGCUCGUACCCCGCGUGACAGCGAAUUUAUUUAUAUGAUCUAGGUAUUUAACAACCUAAAAAUAUAUAGGAGUCGCCACUAGCCUCAUUUUUUGGGGGUCGGCUAGAAACCCAAUCGAGGGUCGGGAGUAUUCCCUCGAUUCCUACGCAACCAGAUAUCUAGAUUCGGAGACUUGGGUUACGCUAAUAUUGCUAUUAGCGCCCUUUCGGUACCUAAACAGUAUGUUGUGUUUUUCCUAACAUGUCCAUGCAUUUUUUUAUAUUUUCAGGAUCGUCGAUUCUAUACUAAAUGAUCAUGUGUGUUGGAUUACUUUCAUUCUAUUCUAUUUCUAAAAAAAAAAUGAAAAGAAACCAAUCAAUGAAAUUGAAAUUGCAAGACAUGAAGUAAACAAUCAAGAGAAAGCGGUAAACCUAAUCAUGCAAUUCUAAAAGAAAGUAUAAAAGAGAAAUAUAUGGGAAAAAGAGAGAAAAACCCGCAACUCGUCGGGUUUUAUACAACAAAUGGAGCCCGAGACAUAUGUCGGGAAAAUGGGUAUUACAUGAAAAUGGUCGGAAUGGACAUCGACCUCCACCAUCUUCACGCCUCUCCAUCUUCAAGGUCCUAAUCUAAACCUAAUCUAAAACACUAAUAACUAGGUGCGUACAAAUAAAAGAAACAAUCAAACACAUCAAGCAACCAUUUUCAUUUCUAAAGAAGUACAAUGUGAAAAUCAAGUUUCGAGUGAUAUCCUAAAGUUCAACAUUGAUAUGUGUCGCACCAAAAUCGUUCGUCAAAUGAUCACAUGCAAAGCAUAUAAUAUGACAGGCAUCCAAGCCAUAUAACAUUGGUCCUCAGUUAAUCAAACAAAUGAAUUAGCUGACAAAAGAUCAUUCACCAAACAAUAUGCAUCAUUGAACAUGUUCAUGCUACAUGUAUAUCCAUCUAAUAAAUGCUUAAUCCAUAACUUCCAGCAUGCAAUCAGAAUUGUAACAGAGCACAUGAGACUAUAAAUUGUGAUUGUUUGAUGACAAAUCACCAUGAAAUUGAAGCCAUAUCUUAUCACAAGCACGUAUGAGUCUUUUUGAUCAAAAUGGCAUCAAUUCAUAACCAAACUAACCGCAAGUUAAAAUCAAAUGCACACCCAAUCAUGGUAGCAACUUUCAUGGAAAAAGUUUUUUAACGUGAGCUACAUAGAAGUUAAAGAAAAUUCAAGAAUGCACAAUAUUAUGUCGAAAUUGCAGCAAAAUAUCGGGAUGUCGUGACACAUUAAUGGUGAUUUGACCUAAAAAGAAAAUCUGAAGAAUAUGAAAUUUUACCACAGCGCGAACAAAAGAGAGGCAAACAACUUUUGUUAAGGAUCCAAUCUUAGAAUUCCUUAACAAGAAAAUCACAGAAAAAAUGAUGAGGUCAGCUUUGACAAGGAAAAACGGGGGUUAUGAAUUUCAUUUUUAUGACAGAUUUCUAUCAUGCGAAUCACAAGAAAAGUUGAGUUCAAUUGAUAUGCAAAUCAUGUGAAAUCAGCAUCAUAAGAACAAAUUUCACGAGGAAGCCUCUCAAAAUUUUUAACACGUGAGUUUCUAAAAGUUCAAGAACAUGAACAAGUCAAUCAAGAAUAGAACAUAGUAGCAUGUCACACCAUCAUUCUACAACAUAUUGACAGCAAUUGGACAAAUCUAUUAUCUCAUCUUAAGACUAACAGCAACUAGCCACAGAAAAGACAGCAUUUCUAUAAUCGAAUCAACUUCAAAAAUCAAAGACAACAUUUCAUUAUAUAUUGUAACUAAAAGCACGUGAAUUUACAAAAUCCUAGAAGAGAUC